rnacentral:rRNA from 1 species
UACGUAGGUGGCAAGCGUUGUCCGGAUUUACUGGGCGUAAAGGAUGCGUAGGCGGACAUUUAAGUUAGAUGUGAAAUACCCGAGCUUAACUUGGGUGCUGCAUUUGAAACUGGGUGUCUAGAGUGCAGGAGAGGUAAGUGGAAUUCCUAGUGUAGCGGUGAAAUGCGUAGAGAUUAGGAAGAACACCAGUGGCGAAGGCGACUUACUGGACUGUAACUGACGCUGAGGCAUGAAAGCGUGGGGAGCAAACAGG